GUCACACAUUCGCACAGAGUGUGAAGAGGGGUUUCCUCCUCAGGAUGACAUCUUUGACGCAUGGGACUGUCGCUGGGUCUAAUCGAGUGGGGAUGUCUUCUGGGAUGGCGGUGCCCUGUGGGGGGUCCUGUGACGGUCCUAACUUCCUGCUUGUUCGGAGGGGGCAGCUCCUUGGUUUGCUGAGCUGAGCAUACGGGGACGGGAGCCUUUGUCUGCCUUGGUCCGGAGCUGGACCUCCGGGGGGUGGGGUGCUGGGCUGCCGGACAGUCCCUGACGGCCUGCCCAAGGGCAUCCAAAUCAAUGCCCAGGACAAGGCUCGGGUCCGGGAGGGGGGCGGGGGGCCCCUUCCCUGGCGGGCCUAUCAGCGGCCUCAUUGCCUCCAGUCCCCUUGUGCCCCGGCGCCCGGGCGGGCCCCGCCCUGUUCUUGGUGGCCGGUUCCUCGGUGGGAGGGGGACAUUCCCGGGCGGGCUUUGGAACAAGAUGGGAACUGUCAAGUGCUUUGGCAGCGGCCUGUCGGAUAGGAUAGGGAUGUGCUUACCAGCAUGGUCC
rnacentral:lncRNA from 1 species